rnacentral:sRNA from 1 species
UGACAAUGUGUGUUUAUAAUCUCCUGCUC